UGUGAAUGUUACAUCCGUAUUUGCUUUAAUGAUGGGAAGAACACCUGGCUUUAAGCCUGGCUCACGAGUUAACUGGCACACAUGGCAGCAAAGCGGUCCUGGCACUGUGCAGCCCUUCCUCAGAGGGUUACCCAUCAGCUGCCAUACUUCCUCCAAGCCGGUGAGGACGGCAUCGGUGCUGCGAGGCUGCAGGGAGCGGUGGGACCCCACCUGUCCUGGGAUCAACACGGCGUGCAGGAAAAACCAGCUAUCACCUAUCCUGGUGAGUUCAGCCCUCCCAGGCUCACUGUGCACAUCCCAGCCCUGGCACGGUGU
rnacentral:lncRNA from 1 species